AACCAAGGACCUCCCUACACUGACCACUCCCUUACUGCCCUUGCCCCUUUCGGGUAAGGUAGUCCUCCACUAGCUUUCCUAAUUAAUCAGCCAAGGGCGUCCAUAAACCCUUGUGGUAGCACUGUUUUCCCGGGUGGUCGCUCCAUGUUCCAAUUAACAUAAUGAUCUUAUCAUGAACAGUAAUAAUAAACAAAUAAUAAAAGUGUGAUCAUGAAUAAUGUAUCUUCAUACCCAAAACCACAUAAAGCACUAGCAAGUACUGCCUAAAAAGUUCAGUGGUAAACAAGGUAUAAAGAUAAUCAAACUAGGGUAACCUAUUGGGUCCCAUCAAAAUUAACCUAUGCAGAUCAUUAUGAUUAAUUAUAACAUGAGUGGGUAAAAAGAAGUGAUCAAGGGCACAACUUGCAUGGGACUUGCGAUUCCAGGUACCAACUUGCUCUUCGGGUGACACGUGUCCUCACGCUAGUCGUAGCAUUACAAACAAACAGUGUAUAGGCAAAAUUAACAUUACACCAAACAUAAGGAUAAAAUGUAUAAUUAUGAUCUACGCGUCAUAACGAGAUCGUAGAAACAAGAACCACUAAAUUCGGAGCUACGGUUACCGAGUUAUGAAUUUCCGAAGAUCCACGUGGUUAAAUAUAGAAUAGACUAAGUGCAACAUUUUAAUCUAUAUUUCAUGACAAAACAAAGUUACCAGAUGAUAAUAAAUAUUAUCAUGAGACUAAUGCAACUAGAAUAGAUCAAAACAGAGUUACGGUUAUUGAGUUAUGAAUUUCUGAAAUUAUUUAGCACCUAGAAUAGAUUAAUUCAAUUGAAUAAUUUUAAGUAAGUUUCAUGGCUAAACAAUGUUACUAGUUGGUAGACAAUAUUAAUACAAAAUUAUUGCAACUAGAACGGGUCAAUUCGAAGCUAAAAUGGAUUUUCUAGGAAUUACACAAGUUCUAGAAUUAUUUUUGUGCUAGAAAAGUAUUUUCUAUCUUGUUUUUCCUAUUUUCUUAAGUCACUGGACUGGUGUAAUACCCAAAAAAAAGUAUACGAUGAGGAUAUAGUAAAUCUCCUUAUGUUGUGUGUCAUAUAUUCAUCAUAACAAGAGCAUACCUAUAAUUAAGGGUGAUUAGUUAAAAUAGAAGAUACUAAAAAUGGAAUAUGCAUCAUGCGGAGGUUUUGCUUUGUGUGCAUUUUGUGACAAUAUAAAAAUAAUGUAAAAAAAGAAAUAUGUUGGUACCAAAAUUGGAAUUUGAAUUCUAAAGGAAAUUCUAUAAUUUGAGAUGAGAAAGGAAAAUGCUUAUGGGCUCAUUUAUUCCUCCCAUAAAUAGAGGACAAGGAAAAUAAUAAAUAAAAAUAUUGGAAAUAGUGGGUAGUAUAUUCACAAUUGAACGGUAUUUAAUAUUUGAAAAUCAGAAAAUUCAAAACAGGAAUUUAAAAUCCAGUUUGAAUCUGUAAAUUUAGAAUUAGAAAAGAAAUGAAAAAGAAAAAAAAAAGGAAAACCUCUAUAUUGGGCCGCAGGACCAAAUUCUGGCCCACCUUUCGUUCCUCACCCGGUAAGCCCAUCUCCCCACCGCGCUGCACAUCACGACUGAAUCGCUGACGCUUGGGUCCGGGUCACCAGUGUCCCUACCGCGCACCAACACCUGCAGUCUAGUGUCGCUUACCUGCGGGCCAUCGUUGCCAGUUCUAUCGCCCUGCUUGAAUCGGUCAGAGACCACCAACCCUGUAGCCGCAACGAACUCCACCACGAUUCAUGGGGAGCCCAGCCUAACCUCGAUCGCGCGCUGCAACGGACUCUGUGAUUCCUUGAGGCCGUUGUAGAUCGCUUAAGCCAGCCCCGAUCCGCGGGCUCCAUAGUGGUAUAUAUGCUCACCGUUGCUGCGGAUGAUGUGGAGGAGAAAAGAUGGCCACCAUCCGCCCGGGGUCCGAAAUCCUCGCCAUCGCCAGCUACGCGUCCCAGCUACAGGGUAUAAAAUACCACCAUGUCGCGCCACCCCCUCUAGUCUCGCCUCCGCAAGCCAUACGGUGGACGACGUUCACCCAGGCAUUCGCGGGACGGACAGGGAGCACUGCCUCACCGGCGUGUGUGGCCGUCGCGGUCGAUCCCCAUCAGGGCCACUAGUCCGGCCUCGGUUGCCAGUUGGGAGGGUGUCCGAAACUGUGCCACUAGGAAUUCUUUGCCAGCGCCGCCUAAUUGCUCGACGGAGCAUUAGCUUCCGCUGUGGUGCCGCCCCGUGCCGUGGACACUGCUUCGACCGUCGUUGAGGUAUCCUUGAUCCUGUUCUCCUUCAUCAGUGCGUCAUCUAGAACCUAUCGGGACUCGUGAUUAGGUAGAAUUGGGAGCCUAAUUUCUCAUCGGAGGGUGGGCGUCACCACUUCCCCGUCAGGUGUCGUGGGUAGGAAUCUUGGCCUGGCAAUUCAUGAGGGGAGGACGGCUACCGAGUUCACGACGGGCGGGCCGUAGCUUAACUCCGGUCAGUGGCGGGGUCCGUGCGGGGUGCCCGUGAAUUGCGUGUUCGCCGGCGAACUGUGCUGUGUCGUGCGGUGGAGGCGCUGCCGCCACCUGGGCAUGGCGGAGGGAGAAGACGACCUCCCUGCCGUCCAUCCGAGUUGGACGGUGGGGAUUAAAUCAGGGGUAGCGUUUGGGUGGAGUCAAUCCGUGAUCGUCCGUUCUGCGAUUGACGGUCACUAUUAGAUCGCGAGUGUUUAAAAUCCGAGUCGUUGAAUAUGGAUCGGAGCGCCUGUGAUGCAUACCGGUUUGGGUAACGCCAGGCCUAAUCUGAGCCAUCCACGCAUGAUCGUGCGGCUGAGAACUUAUCUUACCCCUUCGCCGUGCACUUUUCUUAAAGAGCCCCUGCGUUUUAUGGAAAAUAACCCGCCGUCCAGUAUACAGAAACCUGAGUCUCGGGAAUUUUAGUAGAUUAGCCCCUGUGCUUCCCAGUAUUUGAGGCGUCGUCCAGGUAUUAAAUAAAACAGGAAAAAUAGAUUUAGAAAUUGAUUUUGUGUAUAAAAAUAAUUGUAAAACUUGUAUAAUUCAUAGAAAAAUUAUAUGAACUCUAAAUUGAUCCAUUUCAGUUCCUAUAAUUUUGUAAUAAUAUUGUUUAUCACCCUGUGUCUCUGUUUUAACAUGAAAAUGGUAUUAAAAUUUAUUUCUUAAUUAACCUCGUAUCAAAUACAUAAAACCUUAGGAAAUUCGUAUCUCCUCCGUUUUAACUCCGAUUUGAUCCGUUCAAGUUGCGUUAGUCUUGUAGAAACGCGUAGAUCAUUAUUAUUCAGUUUGUUCUUAUGUUUGGUGUGAUGUUAAUUUAUCUAUACCAUGUCUGUUUGUAUUGCUACGACUAGCGCGAAGGCGUAUCAUCUGAAAAGCAAGUUGGUACCUGGAAUCUCAAGUCCCAGGCAAGUUGUGCCCUUGAUCACUUCUUUUACCCACUCAUGUUCUAAUUAAUCAUAAUGAUCUGCAUAGGUUAAUUUGAUGGGACCUAAUAGGUUACCCUAGUUUGUCUAUCUUUAUGCCUUGUUUACCACUAAACUUUCUGGGUAGUACUUGCUAGUGCUAUAUGUGGAUUUGGGCAUUGAGAUACAUAUUAUUCAUACUUUUGUUAUCAGUUGCUAUUUACUGUUCAUGAUAAGAUCAUUAUGUUAAUUGGAACAUGGAGAACCACCCGGGAAAACAGUGCUACCACAAGGGUUUAAUGGGACGCCCUUGGCCGAUUAAUUAGGAAAGCUAGUGGAAGACUACCUUACCCGAAAGGGGCAAGGGCAGUAGGGGAGUGGUCAGUGUAGGGAGGCCCUCGGGAGGAUUUUGCUGCGAUGGCGGUCCUGCAAGGGAUUCCUGCAUUGGAGCUUCCUAUAAACUGUAGCGGGUUUUCUGAAGCUAGUGGAACUUUGUAAAGGCCUCGUAGUGUUACCCUGCCUCGCCUCCUCGGUAGAGGUGUAUGGGAAGUCGCGAUCCCUUGGCAGAUGGGUAACAUGACUUGUGGGUAAAGAUGCGCAACCUCUGCAGAGUGUAAAACUGGUAUACUAGCCGUGCUCACGGUCAUGAGCAGCUCGGACACUCACAUGAUUAAAUUAUGGAACUUAAACUCAAUUUGUCAUAUGCAUUGCAUCGCAGGUGAGGUUGCUACUUUUGUUCUACUACUUAAUUGGGUUGGUAUUUACUUAUACUUAGUAAUUGCUAAUAAAAUUUUGACCAACUUUAAAAGCAAUGCUCAGCUCUAACCAUCCUCUUUGGUAAGCCUUACACUUCACGUGAGCUCCCAUCUUUGGCAAGUUCACGCACAUUAUUCCCCACAACUUGUUGAGCGAUGAACGUAUGUGAGCUCACUCUUGCUGUCUCACACACCCCACAGGUCAAGAACAGGUACCGCUGGAUGAGGCGCAAGGAGGAUGCUGUGGCGAGUUCGUGAGAGAUCUAGGCCGUCGUCUCCCAGUCAACUUCGGGUUGCUGGACCGUUGUCUCCAUAUAAUGUAAUUAUUUAUUUAUUUUGUACAGAACUCCGAUUAUAUAGUAAAGAUGUGACAUUCGAUCCCGUGCCAUGAUUCAUCAUAUGUGUGAGACUUGGUCCCAGCACACCUGGUGAUUAUGUUCGCGCCCGGGCUUUGGACCCCUAAAACCCGGGUGUGACAGAAGUGGUAUCAGAGGAAUGUUGACUGUAGGACGAAACCUAGAUAGAACUGGACAACCCCUACAUACUUAUCUUUGGUACUCUGAUUCUUUUCUAAACUUUUCUCAUCUAUUUCCGCUUUACUCUGAUUACUCUUACAUUUUCACUUCUAAAGACAAAUGUGGAUUUCACACCUUGAAAUCCUUAACCUAAAGUGACUUUAGGAAUAGGAGACCUAAUCUUAGGGACAAAAGGAAAACUAUUUUCGUAGAUAUUGGUAUGCUUGAGUGUUUGUUCUUAUGACACUUGUCUGAUUUGGAUCUUUGAUUGAGUGUGAUGGGUUGUGGAGUAAUGUCCACAAUUACAUCUGCAUAUACGUAUAGGCUUAAAUAGAAUUCAUAAGAUAUCUAAACAACUUAGAUUAUCCUCCACUAAAAAGGUAUCUAUUUCAUAGAAGUCCCUCUUAUCUUAAAAGACUCUCUCUUAUCCUAAUAGAUCCAUCUUAUCUUAAAAGAUUAUUCUUACCUUAACAGACUCAUCACAUCCCGAAAGGAUUCUCAUCUUGUCCUAAUAGAUCUGACUAAUCUCGUUCAACUUAUAGCUACUCAACCUACUAAUGGGUUACCUACAGACCUAUCUUAACCUCUUGUCCCUAAUCCGGAUGAAGACACCAAAACUUGAGAAGAAGGAUAUCAAACUCGUUGAGGAAUGACAAGAGUCAAGCCAUACCUCCAAAGGGAUCAAGAUCCAGGAUGGAGUCUUUCGUUACCCUACUCUUUCUUAUCCAAACCUAUUCAUACUUCUAGGACAUCUUUUAUCCUACAUAAUGUGGUGGCCAUAUAUAUGCCAUCCUAAUCACCUGAUAGUUUGAUAUGGACUAAAAAAAAUCUUUUGGUACUAGAACUAAUUAGGAACUAAAAUCUAGACUACAAGCUAAACUUGUUGUGUCCCUUAUCUUACAAAUCUCGAGGACGAGAUUCUUGUUAAGGGGGGUAAGAUUUGUAAUACCCAAAAAAAGUAUACGAUGAGGAUAUAGUAAAUCUCCUUAUGUUGUGUGUCAUAUAUUCAUCAUAACAAGAGCAUACCUAUAAUUAAGGGUGAUUAGUUAAAAUAGAAGAUACUAAAAAUGGAAUAUGCAUCAUGCGGAGGUUUUGCUUUGUGUGCAUUUUGUGACAAUAUAAAAAUAAUGUAAAAAAAGAAAUAUGUUGGUACCAAAAUUGGAAUUUGAAUUCUAAAGGAAAUUCUAUAAUUUGAGAUGAGAAAGGAAAAUGCUUAUGGGCUCAUUUAUUCCUCCCAUAAAUAGAGGACAAGGAAAAUAAUAAAUAAAAAUAUUGGAAAUAGUGGGUAGUAUAUUCACAAUUGAACGGUAUUUAAUAUUUGAAAAUCAGAAAAUUCAAAACAGGAAUUUAAAAUCCAGUUUGAAUCUGU
rnacentral:lncRNA from 1 species